AACGAACGAACGAAUGUAUUCCUUCCACUCGUGAGCUCAUUUACCAUUGUCUUAUGUGACAAUGGUAAAUGAGCUCACGAGUGGAAGGAAUACAUUC
rnacentral:miRNA from 1 species